rnacentral:rRNA from 1 species
GGGCUUUCCAGAGUUGAUUCGGGCUCGGCCCGAUCCUCCCACCCUUUGUGUACCUACCUCUGUUGCUUUGGCGGGCCGCGGUCCUCCGCGGCCGCCCCCCUCCCCGGGGGGGUGGCCAGCGCCCGCCAGAGGACCAUCAAACUCCAGUCAGUAAACGAUGCAGUCUGAAAAACAUUUAAUAAACUAAAACUUUCAACAACGGAUCUCUUGGUUCUGGCAUCGAUGAAGAACGCAGCGAAAUGCGAUAAGUAAUGUGAAUUGCAGAAUUCAGUGAAUCAUCGAAUCUUUGAACGCACAUUGCGCCCUUUGGUAUUCCGAAGGGCAUGCCUGUUCGAGCGUCAUUACAACCCUCAAGCUCUGCUUGGUAUUGGGCACCGUCCUUUGCGGGCGCGCCUCAAAGACCUCGGCGGUGGCGUCUUGCCUCAAGCGUAGUAGAACAUACAUCUCGCUUCGGAGCGCAGGGCGUCGCCCGCCGGACGAACCUUCUGAACUUUUCUCAAGGUUGACCUCGGAUCAGGUAGGGAUACCCGCUGAACUUAAGCAUAUCAAUAAGCGGAGGAA